CUCAUUUUUGAGUUUUCAUUCUCAAACACUCUCGCUCCUUCCUCAGUCUCUCUCUCCCUCAUCCGCUGCUCUCUCUCCCUCAUUCCUCAGUCUCUCUCUCCCUCCUUCCUCUCUUCCUCUCUUCCUCUCUUCCUCUCUUCAACUCUCCUUCCUCUCUUCCUCUUUCCAACGUGCCAAGUCCAUGGUUGUAACAUGGAUCUUUAGCUCUCCUUCCUCCGGAUUUCUUUAACAUUUGUUGAAUAUGCUUUGUGAAUUUAUUUGUUGGCUUUGUGAAUUUAUUUGUCCGAGGCCCGCCGAUUGGCGGAUCUGGAGGAGAAGGAUCUGGAAAAGGAGGAGCAGGCGGCGUUGGAGAAGAAUUCGGAUGAGGUGAAGAAGAAGCAGAGCCGUACGGUCGAGGAGGAGGAGGCGGCGUUGGAAACAUGUCAUAUUUUCUAUUUCUAUAUUAUGUUGUGCUUGUUUUGCAUUUUUUGGAGGAAAAAAAAAA